rnacentral:rRNA from 1 species
AUUGAACGCUGGCGGCAUGCUUUACACAUGCAAGUCGAACGGUAACAGGGUGCUUGCACCGCUGACGAGUGGCGAACGGGUGAGUAAUGCGUCGGAACGAGCCGAGUAGUGGGGGAUAACGCAUCGAAAGGUGUGCUAAUACCGCAUACGUACUGAGGUAGAAAGUGGGGGACCUUCGGGCCUCACGCUAUUCGAGCGGCCGACGUCUGAUUAGCUAGUUGGUGAGGUAAAGGCUCACCAAGGCGACGAGCAGUAGCGGGUCUGAGAGGAUGAUCCGGCACACUGGGACUGAGACACGGCCCAGACUCCUACGGGAGGCAGCAGUGGGGAAUUUUGGACAAUGGGCGCAAGCCUGAUCCAGCCAUGCCGCGUGUCUGAAGAAGGCCUUCGGGUUGUAAAGGACUUUUGUCCGGGAGCAAAUGCUGGUGGCUAACAUCCACCGGAGCUGAGAGUACCGGAAGAAUAAGCACCGGCUAACUACGUGCCAGCCGCCGCGGUAAUAC